rnacentral:rRNA from 1 species
AACGCGAAGAACCUUACCUGGGCUUGACAUGUGAGUGACCGGCGUGGAAACACGUCUUCCCUUCGGGGCACUUUCACAGGUGGUGCAUGGCUGUCGUCAGCUCGUGUCGUGAGAUGUUGGGUUAAGUCCCGCAACGAGCGCAACCCCCGUCGCAUGUUGCCAGCAUUUAGUUGGGGACUCAUGCGAGACUGCCGGUGACAAACCGGAGGAAGGUGGGGAUGACGUCAAGUCCUCAUGCCCCUUAUGUCCAGGGCUACACACGUGCUACAUUGGCGCGUACAGAGGGCUGCGAUACCGCGAGGUGGAGCGAAUCCCUUAAAGCGCGUCUCGGUUCGGAUUGCAGGCUGAAAUUCGCCUGCAUGAAGGCGGAGUUGCUAGUAAUGCUAUAUCAGAACGAUAGCGUGAAUACGUUCCCGGGCCUUGUACACACGAGUAUA